UUGGCCCCUGCACAAGGAUGAGACACAAAUUUGUGAAGUAUUCCAUAUUUUU
rnacentral:snRNA from 1 species